CCAGACUCCUACGGGAGGCAGCAGUGAGGAAUAUUGGUCAAUGGCCGAGAGGCUGAACCAGCCAAGUCGCGUGAGGGAUGACGGCCCUACGGGUUGUAAACCUCUUUUGUCGGGGAGCAAAUUCCGCCACGCGUGGCGGAGUCGAGAGUACCCGAAGAAAAAGCAUCGGCUAACUCCGUGCCAGCAGCCGCGGUAAUACGGAGGAUGCGAGCGUUAUCCGGAUUUAUUGGGUUUAAAGGGUGCGUAGGCGGACGGACAAGUCAGGGGUAAAAUGCGGGGCCUCACCCUCCGCCUGCCGUUGAAACUGGCGGCCUCGAGUGGGCGAGAAGUAUGCGGAAUGCGUGGUGUAGCGGUGAAAUGCAUAGAUAUCACGCAGAACUCCGAUUGCGAAGGCAGCAUACCGGCGCCCUACUGACGCUGAGGCACGAAAGCGUGGGUAUCGAACAGGAUUAGAUACCCUCGUAG
rnacentral:rRNA from 1 species